rnacentral:lncRNA from 1 species
AGGAGGAGGAAAGGAGAAUUGUGACUUCUGUAAUUAAUUGUCUGGAGCGCUACAGAUGUGCUCGCUUGUUUCACAGGCAACACCGGGCUUGAAACCUUCACCUGCCCACCUGGCCACACAGACCACGGACCUGUUGUGCAGGAGCCCAAGAGGAGAACACUCUGGAGCCUCACAGGAAUACGUGAAAGGAGCAGAAUAUAUUCUGCAGAAUAUAUUCCAGGAGCGGAAGAAAACAGCAAGCUAGGAAAAAUUCCGGUAGGGCUUUGGCAGUGGACUGACAGACACCGGGUGACCUGCCUCUCCAGGAGGAUGGAGCAGAAGCCCCGCCAGCAUCCCCUGAAGGGCAUCGCUGGGGCCCGCGUGAGGACAAGGCUGGAGCGGAUCCAGAGCCUUGUGGGCCGUCUCUCCAGCCUCCAUGUGGCCACAGCGCACACACCCACAACAAAGAGGCAUGUGCCAUUCAUCCAUUUUGCCUGAGCGGGGUUCACGGAGCUUCUGCUCAGGAUGAUCAUGUACAGUUGCACAGUUCCUGCACUGAACAAAGACAGCAGGCUGAAGUCCAUUCUGUACUCUGCUCUGUGU